rnacentral:rRNA from 1 species
AGAUUGAACGCUGGCGGCAGGCCUAACACAUGCAAGUCGAGCGGUAGAGAGGUGCUUGCACCUCUUGAGAGCGGCGGACGGGUGAGUAAAGCCUAGGAAUCUGCCUGGUAGUGGGGGAUAACGCUCGGAAACGGACGCUAAUACCGCAUACGUCCUACGGGAGAAAGCAGGGGACCUUCGGGCCUUGCGCUAUCAGAUGAGCCUAGGUCGGAUUAGCUAGUUGGUGAGGUAAUGGCUCACCAAGGCGACGAUCCGUAACUGGUCUGAGAGGAUGAUCAGUCGCACGUGGAACUGAGACACGGUCCAGACUCCU